UUAAAUUGAAGAGUUUGAUCAUGGCUCAGAUUGAACGCUGGCGGCAGGCCUAACACAUGCAAGUCGAACGGUAACAGGAAGCAGCUUGCUGCUUCGCUGACGAGUGGCGGACGGGUGAGUAAUGUCUGGGAAGCUGCCUGAUGGAGGGGGAUAACUACUGGAAACGGUAGCUAAUACCGCAUAAUGUCGCAAGACCAAAGAGGGGGACCUUCGGGCCUCUUGCCAUCGGAUGUGCCCAGAUGGGAUUAGCUUGUUGGUGGGGUAACGGCUCACCAAGGCGACGAUCCCUAGCUGGUCUGAGAGGAUGACCAGCCACACUGGAACUGAGACACGGUCCAGACUCCUACGGGAGGCAGCAGUGGGGAAUAUUGCACAAUGGGCGCAAGCCUGAUGCAGCCAUGCCGCGUGUAUGAAGAAGGCCUUCGGGUUGUAAAGUACUUUCAGCGGGGAGGAAGGGAGUAAAGUUAAUACCUUUGCUCAUUGACGUUACCCGCAGAAGAAGCACCGGCUAACUCCGUGCCAGCAGCCGCGGUAAUACGGAGGGUGCAAGCGUUAAUCGGAAUUACUGGGCGUAAAGCGCACGCAGGCGGUUUGUUAAGUCAGAUGUGAAAUCCCCGGGCUCAACCUGGGAACUGCAUCUGAUACUGGCAAGCUUGAGUCUCGUAGAGGGGGGUAGAAUUCCAGGUGUAGCGGUGAAAUGCGUAGAGAUCUGGAGGAAUACCGGUGGCGAAGGCGGCCCCCUGGACGAAGACUGACGCUCAGGUGCGAAAGCGUGGGGAGCAAACAGGAUUAGAUACCCUGGUAGUCCACGCCGUAAACGAUGUCGACUUGGAGGUUGUGCCCUUGAGGCGUGGCUUCCGGAGCUAACGCGUUAAGUCGACCGCCUGGGGAGUACGGCCGCAAGGUUAAAACUCAAAUGAAUUGACGGGGGCCCGCACAAGCGGUGGAGCAUGUGGUUUAAUUCGAUGCAACGCGAAGAACCUUACCUGGUCUUGACAUCCACGGAAGUUUUCAGAGAUGAGAAUGUGCCUUCGGGAACCGUGAGACAGGUGCUGCAUGGCUGUCGUCAGCUCGUGUUGUGAAAUGUUGGGUUAAGUCCCGCAACGAGCGCAACCCUUAUCCUUUGUUGCCAGCGGUCCGGCCGGGAACUCAAAGGAGACUGCCAGUGAUAAACUGGAGGAAGGUGGGGAUGACGUCAAGUCAUCAUGGCCCUUACGACCAGGGCUACACACGUGCUACAAUGGCGCAUACAAAGAGAAGCGACCUCGCGAGAGCAAGCGGACCUCAUAAAGUGCGUCGUAGUCCGGAUUGGAGUCUGCAACUCGACUCCAUGAAGUCGGAAUCGCUAGUAAUCGUGGAUCAGAAUGCCACGGUGAAUACGUUCCCGGGCCUUGUACACACCGCCCGUCACACCAUGGGAGUGGGUUGCAAAAGAAGUAGGUAGCUUAACCUUCGGGAGGGCGCUUACCACUUUGUGAUUCAUGACUGGGGUGAAGUCGUAACAAGGUAACCGUAGGGGAACCUGCGGUUGGAUCACCUCCUUACCUUAAAGAAGC
rnacentral:rRNA from 4 species